CUCGUCCUAAAAAACGGGGUGCAGCUAGGAAGGCCUUUGCUCCCUGGCCCAUCACAUAACACGUUUAUGGGGAAUCUGAUACUAAACUAUUCGUAAACGCCCUGCUUCCGGGUCAGGGUUUCCUAUGGAGCAUGGCAGCUCCCUCACUGCAACCUAUUGAAAGUCAGCCCUCCACCCAAGUGUCUCUAAACCAGUGUGCGGGAAACCCGGCUUUGUGGCGUGUCCUGUGUAAUUCAGCCCUCGCCGUCUACCUUCCUUCUUCCCUGCUUUUGCCAGCGGGGACUAAGGUCCCGGGCCUGCUCAUGCCCACCAGCCCCCGAGCCCCGGGACAUGCAGCGGCUGUCUCUCGCGAGAGUUCAUUGGAGCCCGCCGUGCAUUUGGGAGGCGUCGGCCCCACCAGCGGGGUUCCCAAGAUACAGCGCCGGGAGUUGCCGAGAUGGAGUCUUGUUCUGUUCGUCAGGCCAUGGCGCGGUAUCGGGUCACUGCAACCUCCGCCUCCCAGGUUCCAGCGAUUCUCUUGUCUUAGCCUAUCGAGUAGCUGGGAUAACAGGUGGAGUUUCGCUCUUAUUGCCCAGGCUGGAUUGCAGUGGCACGACAUCAGCUCAUCGCAACAUCCGUCGCCUGGGUUCAAGGGAUUUUCAAUUCUUCAGCCUUUCGAGUAGCUGAAACCACAGGCACACACCGCACGCCUGGCUUUUUUUUUUUAAUAGACACUGGGUAUCUCCAUAUUCGUCAGGCUAGUCUAGAACCCCAAACCUGAGGCGAACCACCCAAGGUGCUGAGAUUAAAGGCGUGAGCCCCGCGUCCGGCCGUAACAUCUUAUCCUCUAGAAAUCCAGAGAGGGUAGGUCUGGAGUCCUUGAGACCAGCCUUCCUUGGAUGAAGUCCAAAGCGAUAGCUGAGGAUUAGGGGGUGCGGUUGGGCUUGAAAGUCGGUCCCUUAUUUUUGCUACCUAGGCCACGAUAUACCUCGACCCCCGUAGCUUGCACACCCUUUGAGAUCCCCCUUCUUGACCGCCUUGGAGGAUGACCUCUAACUUUAAUUUUUGUUUUUCUUCCUUUGUUGGGUUUCAGGAGGGGGUGCAGGAAAGAGGGUGUGUGUGGGGAGGGGGUGUGGUGGGGAUGGAGGGGAGCGUCCUAAGGUUCGAUUUAGUGUCAUGCCUCUUUCAUCACCACCACCGAAGAUGAAAGCAACAAUCAGCUGAAUACUGCGUGUCCUCACCCAUAAGUGGGAACUAAAUAAUGAGAAUGCGUGGGAAGAACUAGGGGGAUGAGAGACGCAGGAGCCUACUUGAGGGAGGAGGUGUGGAAGGAGAGACAGCUUCAGGAAAAAGCAAAGCAAACAAAACACAAAAACUGUCGGGUUUUUGUGAGUACCCGGGUGACAUAGUUUCCGGCGCUGAGUAUCCGGGAGACGAAAUCAUCUGCACACUGAACCCCCCAGUCAGAAGUUCACCUAUGUAACAAACUUGCACAUGUAUGCUUCAACAAGAAAUAAAAGUGAGGGGAGAAAGAGAGAGAGAGAAAGAGAGAGAGAGAAGUAAAUCGAAACAUCACCUCCUUCACCUGAGUCAGGGGGUUUCGGGUCUUUUGGGGGAAGGUUCUGAAACAAUGCAGUAUUUUGGUCUGUACUUUUUUGUGUCUUCGCAUUUCUUCUCUUUUUA